GGUGGAGAGUGGCGCACGGGUGAGUAACACAUUGGCUGACCUGCCCCUCAGAGGGGGACAACCGGUGGAAACGCCGGCUAAUACCCCAUGCUUGCGUCCGGGUUAGAGGCCGGAUGCAGAAAGGCCGAGGCGCUGAGGGAGGGGGCUGUGGUCCACCAGCUAGUUGGUAGGGUAACGGCCUACCAAGGCGAGGACGGAUAGGGGGCCUGAGAUGGUGACCCCCCACACGGGCACUGAGACACGGGCCCGACUCCUACGGGAGGCAGCAGUAAGGGAUAUUGCGACAAUGGGCGAAAGCCUGACGCAGCAACGCCGCGUGGAGGAUGAAGGCCUUCGGGUUGUAAACUCCUUUUCUGUGGGAAGAGGAAGGACGGUACCACAGGAAGAAAGUCUCGGCUAACUACGUGCCAGCAGCCGCGGUAAAACGUAGGAGGCGAGCGUUAUCCGGAUUUACUGGGUGUAAAGCGCGUGCAGGCGGUCUGGUAAGUCGAGCGUGAAAGCUCCCGGCUCAACCGGGAGAGGACGUGCGAAACUGCGAGGCUAGAGACAGGUAGAGGCGUACGGAAUUCCGGGUGUAGUGGUUGAAAUGCGUAAAUCUCCGGAGGAAACACCAGUGGCGAAGGCGGUACGCUGGGCCUGGUCUGACGCUAAGACGCGAACGCAUGGGGAGCGAACGGGAUUAGAAACCCCGGUAGUCCAUGCCGUAAACGAUGCUAACUAGGUGUUGCGGGUAAAAGACCGGCAGUGCCGGAGUUAACGCGAUAAGUUAGCCACCUGGGGACUACGGUCGCAAGGCUAAACUCAAAGGAAUUGACGGGGGCCCGCACAAGCAGCGGAGCGUGUGGUUUAAUUCGAGGCUACACGAAGAACCUUACCUGGGCUUGACAUGACGGUGGUAGGGAACCGAAAGGGACACGACCUUCGGGAGCCGUCACAGGUGCUGCAUGGCUGUCGUCAGCUCGUGUCGUGAGAUGUUCGGUUAAGUCCGGUAACGAGCGCAACCCUCAUCGCUAGUUACAAGUGUCUAGCGAGACUGCCCGUU
rnacentral:rRNA from 1 species